rnacentral:rRNA from 1 species
AACGAACGCUGGCGGCAUGCCUAACACAUGCAAGUCGAACGGAUCCUUCGGGAUUAGUGGCGCACGGGUGCGUAACGCGUGGGAAUCUGCCCUGGGGUACGGAAUAACUCAGCGAAAGUUGUGCUAAUACCGUAUGAUGUCUUCGGACCAAAGAUUUAUCGCCCUGGGAUGAGCCCGCGUAGGAUUAGCUAGUUGGUGAGGUAAAGGCUCACCAAGGCGACGAUCCUUAGCUGGUCUGAGAGGAUGAUCAGCCACACUGGGACUGAGACACGGCCCAGACUCCUACGGGAGGCAGAAGUGGGGAAUAUUGGACAAUGGGCGCAAGCCUGAUCCAGCAGUGCCGCGGGAGUGAUGAAGGCCUUAGGGUUGUAAAGCUCUUUUACCCGGGAAGAUAAUGACUGUACCGGGAGAAUAAGCCCCGGCUAACUCCGUGCCAGCCGCCGCAGUAA